GUUGAUUUAGUACUAAAGACCUAUUUAUGAAAAGCAAGUUAAAGCAGUUCACCAAUAAAUGUUAUCCACGAUACCUUCAUUGCGAAUUCCUUCUAAUUUAGUUCCCAUAAGUACGUACGAAAAAACAAACAUUACCACGCCCUAUGGCAACUUAAUAAAUUUAAAGGAUAUAACAUGUCUAAUACAAUGACUGGUACAGUAAAAUGGUUCAACAACGAUAAAGGUUUCGGCUUUAUUUCUCCUAAAGAUGGCAGCAAAGAUGUAUUCGUACAUUUCUCUGCAAUCCAAAGCAGCAACUUCAAAAGCUUAAAUGAAGGACAAGAAGUGUCUUUCACUAUCGAAAAUGGCGCUAAAGGCCCAGCAGCUGCAAACGUUGUUGCACUGUAAGAUAGAGCUUAUUUUCGAAAACUGAACCUAGUGUCAGUACGAAUUUAAUAAAAACCUCGAUUAUGCGAGGUUUUUUGC
rnacentral:sRNA from 1 species